UAGAAGGGAAACAACAUAUUUUGGGAAAAAUCUAUUGCAGGUGUCUCUGACAAAAGUCUUAUUUCAAAUAUAUGGAGAACUGAGUCAAAUUUAUAAGAAUACAAAGCAUUUCCCAAUUGAAAAAUAGUCUAAAGAUAUGAAUGAACAGUUCUUAGAGGAAUAAAGUAAAACUAUCUAUUGAGUAUGAAAAAAAAGGCUCCAAAUUACUAUUGAUUAGAGAAAUGCAAAUUAAAACAACUCUGAGAUACUAUCUCACACCUAUCAGACUGGCUAAGAUGACCAAAAAGGGAAAUGAUAAAUAUUGUAGGAGAAGUGGGAAAGUUGUACAUUUACUACAUUAGUACACUGUAGGUGGAACUAUGAACUGAUUACAACCCUUAUGAAGAACUAUAUGGAACCACAUUCCAUGUACAUAAAAUUAUGUAUACCCUUUGACCUAACAAUAUAACUUCUGGCUCCAUAUCCCAAAGAGAGAUCAGAUAUGAGGGUAAUGGGUCUAUCUGUCCCAAAAUAUUUUAGCAGCUCCUUUUAUAGUGGCAAAGAAUUGGAAGCUAAGGGUUUGUCCAUGGAUGGAUGGAUGGAUGGAUGGGGGAUGGAUGACCAAGUUUUGGUAUAUGGUUGUAAUGGUAUACUAGCAAACCACAAGAAAUGAUAAGCAGUAUGACUUCAGAAAAACCUAGAAGGUCUUAUACGAAAUAAUGCAAUGUGAAAUAAGCAGAAUUGGGAGAGCAAUGUAUACAGUAACAAAAAUAUUUUAAAAUAAUCAGCUAUGAAAGCUUAAGAUUAUCAUCAAAGCAAGUUCCCAAUCUAUCUACAGGGGACUCAUGAUGAAAAAUGCUAUCCCUAGCCAGUGAAGGAACUGUUGGAGCCUUAUUGCAGAUCAAAGCAUGGAGGACAGCAAGCCUUUAGAGAGCCUGGAUAUAUCUCAGAAAUUGGAGUUCAAAUAUACUACAUCAAGAAUGACUUUGCCUUAAUUGAACAUCUUCCAAAUAUCAAUAAAAGGCUAAGAAAAUAAGGGAGCAAUUGGUGACUUUCAGGAAACAAAAACUUCCUUGAUCCUCUUGUCUCAGCAUACAAGGAUAUUGUUUUCCAUAUAGUCUGCGAAUCCCAGCAAUUUUUUUUUCAACAGAAGGUGUCCUCUAAAAAUCUUUCUGCCACAAUACCUUUCCACACUCCAGUCCACGUGAAGCCCAGGCCUCCCAUGUGGAGCCAAUACCACCUGUUUUGUAACCAGCUGGUAGAAAUCAGUCCUGAGUGAUCUGCUCCAAGGAUCUGGGUUUGUUGGGCAGGCAGGUCACCAGGUGGUUGAGAUCUGGGUUAAACAGGGACCUGGUGAGCGAGAGAGAGGUCAGGAUCAGCAGCAGGAGAAACAGGCCGGCAGAACUUAGCAGCCAGGGGCCAGGUGGGCAGCAAACUCAACAGAUCUGGAUCGGGGCUGCAGGCAGGAAUGCACGAAAGCAGGGAGAAGUGGCUGGGAACCAGGUGGGCAGCAAACUCAACAGGUCCGGAGCAAGCCUGUGAGCUGGAAUGAGCAGCAGCUUUGCAAAGGUAAAAAAACCUCGGACAGAGAAAAGUGGAUCAAAAAAAUUUCUAGGCACUUGCUAUUUAAAGCUGAACUUAAGAUCAGAAAAGAAUCAGAAGAUUGAGAGUAUUUUCUCCCAUUAGGUCACCAAAACUGUAAAGAUUAAAAUUUGGGGAGAUUGAGGCAGGUAGAAAUUAGUUUCUCUCUGCAAGGAGCAUUAUAUUUUAUGAGGUUUAUUAAAGAUUAAGGAUUAAAGAAAAUACAGAAUAAGAAACACGUGCCUAGGCCAGAGAGGCCUAGACAAGACCUCACCUACAUUAUGAAAAGAGCCACAUCUGCUCCAAAAUGGAAGUCCAAAAGGCCCCUCAGUAGGAGGAGAACUCCUUUAUAAAAUCAUUUGUGUCCUUGCCCAGGCAAGAAUUCAGUGCAAUUACAAAGCACUCUGGGGAAGUGGAGCAAAAGAUUCUGGGGAUUGGAGUCCUGAAUUAGAGUCAAUUUAUUACACAUUGGCAAGAUCACAUUAUUUGUAUUUAAGUAGAUAUAUGCUCCUCCCAUGCUUUCUGAUUGACAAUUUAGUUAUUAUGAAUAAAAUUUUAUGAAUAUAAUAUUUAGUUAUUACAUAUUGAUUUUAAUCUUUACAAGUGAUAGCUUGGUCUUGUCAUUGUCUAUUUUAAUACCUUCAAUUUCUUUUUCUUCUCUAAUUGCUACUGACAGUGUUUCUAGAACAGUGUUAAAUAAUAGAGAUGAUAAUGGGAAUCCUUGUUUCACUCCUGAUUUUAUUGGAAAUGCAUAUAUUUUAUCCCCACCGCAGAUGAUGUUUACUGAUGUUUUUAGAUAUAUACUGUUUAUUAGUCUCAGAAAAGGCCCCUCUAUUCCUAUAUUUUCUAGUUUUUUCAACAGAAAUGAGUGUUGUAUUUUGUCAAAGGCUUUUUAAUCAAUCUAUUGAGAUAAUCAUGUGAUUUGUGUUGGUGUUCUUGUAGAUAUGGUCAAUUGUGUGGAUGGUUUUCCUAAUAUUGAACCAUCCUUGCUUUCCUGGUAUAAAUCCUACUUGGUUAUAGUGAACAACCCUUGUGAUCACUUGCUGUAGUCUUUUUGCUAGUAUCCCAUUUAAGAAUUUUGCAUCCAUAUUCAUUAUGUAGAUUGUUCUAUAGUUUUCUGUCUCUGUUUUUGACCUGCAUGGUUUUGGAAUCAGUACAAUAUUUAUGUUCUAAAAUGAAUUUAGUAGAACCCUGUCUUUGCUUAUUAUGUCAAAUAGUUUGUAUAAUAUUGUGACUAAUAGUUUUUUUUAAUGUUUGAUAGAAUUCAUUUGUGAAUCCAUCUGGUCCUAAGGAUUUUUUUCUUAAGGAGUUCAUUGAUGGAUUAUUCAAUUUCUUUUUUCUGAUAUGGGGUUGUUUAGGUAGUCUAUUUCUUCCUCUGUUAGUCUAUGCAAUUUAUAUUUUUGAAAGUAUUCAUCCAGAUCACCUAGAUUUCCAUGUUUAUUGUCAUAUAAUAGAGCAGUAUAAUUUUUAAUAAUUGCCUUAAUUUCCUCUUCAUUACAGGUGAGGUCUCCCUUUUCAUCUAUGAUGCUGUUAAUUUGUUUUUCUUCUUUACUUUUUUUAUUAGAUU